rnacentral:rRNA from 1 species
ACGUAGGGAGCAAGCGUUAUCCGGAUUUACUGGGUGUAAAGGGCGCGCAGGCGGGUCGGCAAGUUGGAAGUGAAAUCUAUGGGCUUAACCCAUAAACUGCUUUCAAAACUGCUGGUCUUGAGUGAUGGAGAGGCAGGCGGAAUUCCGUGUGUAGCGGUGAAAUGCGUAGAUAUACGGAGGAACACCAGUGGCGAAGGCGGCCUGCUGGACAUUAACUGACGCUGAGGCGCGAAAGCGUGGGGAGCAAACAG